GGUAUGUAUUUUAAACCCACGAUUAGCCCCGGAAAUUAAUCGUGUUGAAAUAAAUA
rfam:Anoxybacillus sp. BCO1 LR68_contig000015, whole genome shotgun sequence.